UAGCCUUCGCUUCGGGAGUGGUGGUGGGAUGGCAGGCGAACAGAGCGCGGAGCUGAAUACAAAUAGAAGCCUCAAAAUGAACUACAAUCAAAAAUUUCCAUAUUUGAUGGAUAUUAAUGGAUUUCUUAAAAAAAAAUCCUCAUGCAUAAACUUGGUUUGGAGAUAUCUAUGGAAUUACCAUCUUCCAUGGGACUGAUAUUUACAAAACAGUUUAGCAUCUGCAGAAAGAUGUCAUCUAUCUGUUGAAACUUAUCUGUAUGAACAGCUUAACAUUCCCUAUUGGACGGCUAAUAACUUAAGGAUGUUUUAUGAAGUGGAUCUUCCCAACCUAGUUUAAAUAUAAGAAAAUAAACACCAUGUGCAAUGCAAUAUA